GACGAACGCUGGCGGCGUGCCUAAUACAUGCAAGUAGAACGCACAGGAUGCACCGUAGUUUACUACACCGUAUUCUGUGAGUUGCGAACGGGUGAGUAACGCGUAGGUAACCUGCCUGGUAGCGGGGGAUAACUAUUGGAAACGAUAGCUAAUACCGCAUAAGAACAUUUACUGCAUGGUAGAUGUUUAAAAGGUGCAAAUGCAUCACUACCAGAUGGACCUGCGUUGUAUUAGCUAGUUGGUGAGGUAACGGCUCACCAAGGCAACGAUACAUAGCCGACCUGAGAGGGUGAUCGGCCACACUGGGACUGAGACACGGCCCAGACUCCUACGGGAGGCAGCAGUAGGGAAUCUUCGGCAAUGGGGGGAACCCUGACCGAGCAACGCCGCGUGAGUGAAGAAGGUUUUCGGAUCGUAAAGCUCUGUUGUUAAGGAAGAACGUGUGUGAGAGUGGAAAGUUCACACAGUGACGGUACUUAACCAGAAAGGGACGGCUAACUACGUGCCAGCAGCCGCGGUAAUACGUAGGUCCCGAGCGUUGUCCGGAUUUAUUGGGCGUAAAGCGAGCGCAGGCGGUUAGAUAAGUCUGAAGUGAAAGGCAGUGGCUCAACCAUUGUGGGCUUUGGAAACUGUUUAACUUGAGUGCAGAAGGGGAGAGUGGAAUUCCAUGUGUAGCGGUGAAAUGCGUAGAUAUAUGGAGGAACACCGGUGGCGAAAGCGGCUCUCUGGUCUGUAACUGACGCUGAGGCUCGAAAGCGUGGGGAGCGACAGG
rnacentral:rRNA from 1 species